rnacentral:sRNA from 2 species
GCGCAGACUAGGCCGCUCUCUACUAUGUAAUAAUUGCUAUGGCGCGCUUGUCUUUCGGAUAUGCCUUCAUUGGCCGUGUCCCUUUUGGAGUGUAGAUCACCUAUUUCACCCUGUAUCUGCUGCUCUGGAGAUAUUAUCGUGUGAUGGAAGCGGUUCGUUUUGUGGUGAUACAUACUUUUUUCAUACUAGUAUUUGUUAUUUAGUUUUAGUUAUUCUACUCAUUUGUGAUGGUGUACAUCCAAAAUCGUAUCCCCCGGGAGGGGAAGUCUCUUGAAUAUCUUUCUUUCCAUCAUUUCCAUGGUGGCUGUGGAUAGAAUCCUUUCACGGGAGUGAGGUUAGCCUGUCAUCCCUCGCGCCUAGAAGUGGCAGGCUUUCUGUUCAGGAUGUGUAGAAUAUAGCAAUACCUAAGCCGUUUCUUCUAGUCAUAAUGGCAGAAUAAGGCAGGCUUUCCUGUCCUUCGCAUACUACCUUGUUCAAGGUACUGCUAGUACUGAUAAUCAUUCUUCUCCCGUUUCCUCCACAACCCUCGCCCUCACAAUCUUGACCUGAUCAACAGGCCUAUCUUCCGCCCCUGUCUUCACCAGUCCCAUGCGCUGCACGACUCUCAUCCCACUCUUCACCCGGCCGAAUAUCGUAUGCUUCCCGUCCAACCACGGUGUCGGAGCCAGGGUGAUGAAAAAUUGGCUGCCAUUGGUGUUGGGUCCGCUAUUCGCCAUGCUCAAGACCCCUGCACCCGUAUGUUUCAAUGCCGGGCUGAUUUCAUCCUCGAACUUUUCGCCGUAGAUCGAGCUGCCCCCUCGACCUGUGCCGGUGGGGUCGCCGCCUUGGAUCAUGAAAUUGGGGAUGAUGCGGUGGAAGAUAACGUUGUUGUAGUAGCCGCGCUGUGCGAGGGUUGCAAAGUUCUUGCAGGUCUUGGGCGCAUGGUCGUUGUAGAGCUCGAGCGUGAUGGAGCC